rnacentral:lncRNA from 1 species
GGGAGGGAGGAGGGGGACACGGAGACAACUUAAUACAACUUGAGAGGAGGUGGCCCGGCUGGCGAGGUCCCGCGCUGGCCUCCGGCAUCCUCAGGGCAGCGUGGCAGUGCGGGUCUGACGGCGGUGGCGGUGGCGGUGGCAUUGGCGUU